rnacentral:rRNA from 1 species
UGGGGAAUAUUGCACAAUGGGCGCAAGCCUGAUGCAGCAACGCCGCGUGAGCGAGGAAGGCUUUCGGGUCGUAAAGCUCUGUCCUUGGGGAAGAAGGAAGUGACGGUACCCAAGGAGGAAGCCCCGGCUAACUACGUGCCAGCAGCCGCGGUAAUACGUAGGGGCAAGCGUUAUCCGGAAUUAUUGGGCGUAAAGAGUACGUAGGUGGUUUUGUAAGCGCGGGGUGAAAGGCAGUGGCUUAACCAUUGUUAGCUUGCGAACUGCAAGACUUGAGUGCAGGAGAGGGAAGCGGAAUUCCUAGUGUAGCGGUGAAAUGCGUAGAUAUUAGGAGGAACACCAGUGGCGAAGGCGGCUUUCUGGACUGUAACUGACACUGAGGUACGAAAGCGUGGGAGCAAACAGGAUUAGAUACCC